rnacentral:ribozyme from 14 species
UUGUUGGUUACAUCAUUUUUAACUACCUUUAUCUCCUUUCCAACUAAUAAGAGACAGGAAAGUAUGGCAAAGUCUAUGAAAAGAAGAGAAGAACGCAUUAAACGAGUAUUAUUGUUU